AGCGAACGCUGGCGGCAGGCCUAAUACAUGCAAGUCGAACGGCUCUUCGGAGCAGUGGCGGACGGGUGAGUAACGCGUGGGAAUCUACCCAGAUCUUCGGAACAACUGAGGGAAACUUCAGCUAAUACCGGAUACGCCCUACGGGGGAAAGAUUUAUCGGUUCUGGAUGAGCCCGCGUUGGAUUAGCUAGUUGGUGAGGUAACGGCUCACCAAGGCGACGAUCCAUAGCUGGUCUGGGAGGAUGAUCAGCCACACUGGGACUGAGACACGGCCCAGACUCCUACGGGAGGCAGCAGUGGGGAAUAUUGGACAAUGGGCGAAAGCCUGAUCCAGCCAUGCCGCGUGAGUGAUGAAGGCCUUAGGGUUGUAAAGCUCUUUCAGUGGGGAAGAUAAUGACGGUACCCACAGAAGAAGCCCCGGCUAACUUCGUGCCAGCCGCCGCCGUAA
rnacentral:rRNA from 1 species